CGGAGGGGCUAGCGUUGUUCGGAAUUACUGGGCGUAAAGCGCACGUAGGCGGAUUGGCAAGUUGGGGGUGAAAUCCCAGGGCUCAACCCUGGAACUGCCUCCAAAACUUCCAGUCUUGAGGUCGAGAGAGGUGAGUGGAAUUCCGAGUGUAGAGGUGAAAUUCGUAGAUAUUCGGAGGAACACCAGUGGCGAAGGCGGCUCACUGGCUCGAUACUGACGCCGAGGUGCGAAAGCGUGGGGAGCAAACAGGAUU
rnacentral:rRNA from 1 species